GAGUUUGAUCUUGGCUCAGGAUGAACGCUAGCGGGAGGCCUAACACAUGCAAGCCGAGCGGUAUUGUUUCUUCGGAAAUGAGAGAGCGGCGUACGGGUGCGGAACACGUGUGCAACCUGCCUUUAUCUGGGGGAUAGCCUUUCGAAAGGAAGAUUAAUACUCCAUAACAUAUUUAACGGCAUCGUUUGAUAUUGAAAGCUCCGGCGGAUAGAGAUGGGCACGCGCAAGAUUAGCUAGUUGGUGAGGUAACGGCUCACCAAGGCGAUGAUCUUUAGGGGGCCUGAGAGGGUGAUCCCCACACUGGUACUGAGACACGGACCAGACUCCUACGGGAGGCAGCAGUGAGGAAUAUUGGUCAAUGGGUGCAAGCCUGAACCAGCCAUCCCGCGUGAAGGACGACUGCCCUAUGGGUUGUAACUUCUUUUGUAUAGGGAUAAACCUACCCUCGUGAGGGUAGCUGAGGUACUAUACGAAUAAGCACCGGCUAACUCCGUGCCAGCCGAGCCGCGGUAAC
rnacentral:rRNA from 1 species